CAAGUCGAACGAAUCCCACCUGGGUAACUGGGUGGGGGAAGUGGCGAAAGGGGCAGUAAGGCGUGGGUAACCUACCCCGGGGAUCGGGAUAGCCGUCCUAACGGACGGGUAAUACCGGGCGAUCUGGCGUGAAGGCAUCUUCGUGCCAGGAGAUGAGUUUCGCCUCGGGAGGGGCUCACGUAGUAUUAGCUUGUUGGCGGGGUAACGGCCCACCAAGGCCAAGAUGCUUAGCGGGUGUGAGAGCACGACCCGCGCCACUGGCACUGAGACACUGGCCAGACUCCUACGGGAGGCUGCAGUCGAGGAUCUUCGGCAAUGGGCGCAAGCCUGACCGAGCGACGCCGCGUGUGCGAUGAAGGCCUUCGGGUUGUAAAGCACUGUCGAGGGGGAGAAAAGCCCGCAAGGGUCUGAUCUAUCCCUGGAGGAAGCACGGGCUAAGUUCGUGCCAGCAGCCGCGGUAAGACGAACCGUGCGAACGUUGUUCGGAUUCACUGGGCUUAAAGGGCGCGUAGGCGGGUUAUCAAGUCGGGGGUGAAAUCUUUCAGCUCAACUGGAAAAGUGCCUUCGAUACUGAUGAUCUUGAGGGAGGUAGGGGCAUGUGGAACUUCCGGUGGAGCGGUGAAAUGCGUAGAUAUCGGAAGGAACGCCGGUGGCGAAAGCGACGUGCUGGACCUCUUCUGACGCUGAGGCGCGAAAGCCAGGGGAGCGAACGGGAUUAGAUACCCCGGUAGUCCUGGCCCUAAACGAUGGGUACUAGGUUGUGGACUUGACAUGGGUUCACAGCCGAAGCCAAAGUGUUAAGUACCCCGCCUGGGGAGUAUGGUCGCAAGGCUGAAACUCAAAGGAAUUGACGGGGGCUCACACAAGCGGUGGAGCAUGUGGCUUAAUUCGAGGCUACGCGAAGAACCUUAUCCUAGGCUUGACAUGUGCAAAGCCC
rnacentral:rRNA from 1 species